rnacentral:piRNA from 1 species
UCAGACUCUGUUUUUAUUUUUUGAGGUGG